rnacentral:rRNA from 1 species
UACGUAGGGGGCAAGCGUUGUCCGGAUUUAUUGGGCGUAAAGAGCGUGUAGGCGGUUUGGUAGGUCCGUUGUGAAAACUCGAGGCUCAACCUCGAGGCGCCGAUGGAAACCAUCAGACUAGAGUCCGGAAGAGGAGAGUGGAAUUCCUGGUGUAGCGGUGAAAUGCGCAGAUAUCAGGAAGAACACCCGUGGCUAAGGCGGCUCUCUAGUACGGUACUGACGCUGAGACGCGAAAGCGUGGGGAGCGAACAGG